GAUGAACGCUAGCGGCAGGCUUAAUACAUGCAAGUCGAGGGGGAUCAGUUGGGUAGCAAUACCUGGCUGUGAGACCGGCAAACGGGUGAGGAACACGUACGCAACUUUCCCAAAACUGGUGAAUAGCCCUCCGAAAGGAGGAUUAAUACACCGUAACAUAACGAAAUGGCAUCAUUUUGUUAUUAUAGCAGCAAUGCGGUUUUGGAUAGGCGUGCGCCUGAUUAGGUAGUUGGCGGGGUAACGGCCCACCAAGCCUACGAUCAGUAACUGGUGUGAGAGCACGACCAGUCACACGGGCACUGAGACACGGGCCCGACUCCUACGGGAGGCAGCAGUAGGGAAUCUUCGGCAAUGGGCGAAAGCCUGACCGAGCAACGCCGCGUGAAUGAUGAAGG
rnacentral:rRNA from 1 species